CGUUGGAGAUUUGAGAGGAUCUGUCCUUAGUACGAGAGGACCGGGAUGGACGAACCUCUGGUGUUCCAGUUGUGCCGCCAGGCGCAGCGCUGGGUAGCUAUGUUCGGACCGGAUAACCGCUGAAAGCAUCUAAGCGGGAAACCGACCUCAAGAUUAGAUCUCCCGGGCCUUCGGGUCCCUAAAGGCCCCUCGAAGAUCACGAGGUUGAUAGGCCAGGUGUGUAAGCGCAGUAAUGCGUUCAGCUAACUGGUACUAAUAGGCCGU
rnacentral:ncRNA from 1 species